rnacentral:piRNA from 1 species
UNGUGCUGUCAGCGGUCCACUGGGAGGAA